rnacentral:rRNA from 1 species
AUUGAACGCUGGCGGCAGGCUUAACACAUGCAAGUCGAGCGGAGAUGAGGUGCUUGCACCUUAUCUUAGCGGCGGACGGGUGAGUAAUGCUUAGGAAUCUGCCUAUUAGUGGGGGACAACAUUCCGAAAGGAAUGCUAAUACCGCAUACGUCCUACGGGAGAAAGCAGGGGAUCUUCGGACCUUGCGCUAAUAGAUGAGCCUAAGUCGGAUUAGCUAGUUGGUGGGGUAAAGGCCUACCAAGGCGACGAUCUGUAGCGGGUCUGAGAGGAUGAUCCGCCACACUGGGACUGAGACACGGCCCAGACUCCUACGGGAGGCAGCAGUGGGGAAUAUUGGACAAUGGGCGGAAGCCUGAUCCAGCCAUGCCGCGUGUGUGAAGAAGGCCUUUUGGUUGUAAAGCACUUUAAGCGAGGAGGAGGCUACCUGGAUUAAUACUCUAGGAUAGUGGACGUUACUCGCAGAAUAAGCACCGGCUAACUCUGUGCCAGCCGCCGCGGUAAAAC